rnacentral:rRNA from 1 species
UACGGAGGGGGUUAGCGUUGUUCGGAAUUACUGGGCGUAAAGCGCGCGUAGGCGGACUGGAAAGUUGGGGGUGAAAUCCCGGGGCUCAACCCCGGAACGGCCUCCAAAACUAUCAGUCUAGAGUUCGAGAGAGGUGAGUGGAAUUCCGAGUGUAGAGGUGAAAUUCGUAGAUAUUCGGAGGAACACCAGUGGCGAAGGCGGCUCACUGGCUCGAUACUGACGCUGAGGCGCGAAAGCGUGGGGAGCAAACAGG